AGUCGAGAAUCUUUCACAAUGGGGGAAACCCUGAUGGAGCGACGCCGCGUGGAGGAUGAAGGUCUUCGGAUUGUAAACUCCUGUCAUGAAAGAACAAGCGAUGCGGGUGAACAGCCCGCAAAGUUGAUAGUAUUUCAAGAGGAAGGGACGGCUAACUUCGUGCCAGCAGCCGCGGUAAUACGAAGGUCCCAAGCGUUGUUCGGAAUCACUGGGCGUAAAGAGUGCGUAGGCGGCGCGGAAAGUCAGAUGUGAAAUCCCGGGGCUCAACCUCGGAACGGCAUCCGAUACUCCCGCGCUUGAGGACUGGAGGGGAGUCUGGAAUUCACGGUGUAGCAGUGAAAUGCGUAGAUAUCGUGAGGAACACUAGUGGCGAAGGCGAGACUCUGGACAGUUCCUGACGCUGAGGCACGAAGGCCAGGGGAGCGAA
rnacentral:rRNA from 1 species